GCAGACUACAGCAUUUUCAGGGCGUCUCCCCAAGAUCUCCAAUAAGGACAACUAGCAUCGACUAGGCUAAUCCCGUGACGGCCUGUUCUGCGGGGACAUCAUCACCCUGGUGCUGCCCUCUCCCCCAUUCUCUAGAGAAAGGAGCCCCAAAAGAACAGAUAAACUCUGCCUCCUAGAAAGGGAAGUCUCUCACCGUCAGCACUGUGGACAUCGGGACUGGAUCCAUCUCUGGGGUGAGGCUGCCCUGGCACUGCAGGGUGCUGAGCAGAGUCCCUGGCCUCCACCCACUCCCUGCCAGGAGCACCCCUUAGUUACACUGAGCUAUGAUCGCACCACUGCACUCGCACCUGGGCAACAGAGUGAGACUCUGACUCUAAAAUAAUAAUAAUAACAAGAAUAUAAGAAUAAUAAUUCAGAUCCAUGUCCGAUAAAAAUAAUAAAUAAGUAAAGCUGA
rnacentral:lncRNA from 10 species